rnacentral:lncRNA from 1 species
ACCAUUUUGCUGGAGAUACCUAUGUUGGUCCUCCCAAGGGUACUAAUUGGUUUGAAAAACAGUCCGAAGGAACAAUUAACAUCAACUGCUAUCCGUGGAUGGAUUGGUUUUACGGAGGCCUGCAGUUUCAGCUGGAGCAUCAUUUGUUUCCACGUCUACCUCGGAGACAAUUAAGAAGCGUUUCUCCUCUUGUGAAAGAGCUUUGCAAGAAGCACAAUUUGCCUUACAGGAGCUUGUCAUUCAUUGAGGCUAAUGUGACAACUCUGAAGACACUGAAGACUGCUGCAAUGCAGGCCAGGGGAUUACUAUGGGAAGCUGUCAAUACUCAUGGAUGAGAAUUUCGAAAGCCUGUUUGCCAAAUUAAUAUCGAGAUAUUAUUUGGUUUGGUGAGAAAUCAAGGAGAGGAUCAGGACAUUCAUCUGCUUUUUAAUAGUAUUUUCAUAUUAUGUACUUAUAAGUUGAUAGUGCCCAUUACUCCAUUAGAAAUAUUUAUGGGGCAUCCAGACCUUAAAGCUAGAUCUUUAUAUGAAGUAUAAUCACCUAUGAUUUUGAUUUAUACAGUGUUCAUUAUUUAUAAAAGAAUUUUAAUACUUAAUGUGUUAGGUGUGCAUUUUUGACAACUAAGAAUCAAGAAUUACUUCUAAUAAAAAAAUUGUGCUUCUCUCAUUUUUUACCAGCUUGUGAAAAAAUCAGAAACAGUUGAAGUUGGAAAAUUAAGAAAUCUAAUUUGUGGUGGAAGUUCUACUUUUUACUAAAAUCUGACAGAGUUUCUCAAUCAUUGUUUGAUUUUUAAAGUGUCUAAUCUAAUUCUUUACAUUUCAAAAUUUACUUAAAAGUAGUCCAUGAGUUCCACUAUUUCUAUACUUUUCUUCUUUUUUCACAUUAUUUAUAUAUUAUUUAAAUAUUAUUUAUAUAAUAUUUCCUCUGAAAUAUCAUGUGCACAAAUUUGUAAACGACCCAUCAAUUCUCGAACAAGCAAAACCGAGUCCACGUCGCCUAUAAGGAUGUGGCCCCACCUGCACAAUACAUACACAUAUCUGUACGUCGGCAUAGAUAUUUUUAGAAAGAUAGCAAAAGCUGUCAGCCUGUACAGUAGAUACUCUCUAUCUAGUACACACACUACAUUAACAUACACAUGCAUUUCAGUGAACCAUUCCUUUCUUUCACUCACAUUUCUUAAUCUCGGACCUUUCAAGUUUCAACAUAGUUUAACACUUAAUUUCAGCAGGCUCUAUCAUUCUUCUCCCCUUCAAGAACUCAUUUAUCCCUCUCUUUGUCUUCUUAUAUUUGAACAACCCAAUUUCUCAGAUCCUUGCUUGUACAAUUUGUGGAUGCAUUGAAAACACAGAUUUUGUUCAAUGACCAUCUCUCCUCCCUCUACUCUCCUUGAAGGUAAUGCAUAUGUUUCUUAUAUUUUCUUUGUUUGAAGUCGGAGGUUUUUACGAAACUAUACAUUUUUUAAGCAGAAUUGAUUAUACGUACAUUUUACCGUCCUCAGACCCUCGUGAUACUAUAUGUUUGGUGGGUUAUGAAUAUAUGGUUAUUUGUAAAUGGGUUGCGGAGUUUCUUGUUUUGGUAAAAAUGUAUACAUGACUAUACUAGUUUACUUGAGUAAUGCUAAUACAUAUUUAGAAUGUUAAAGCUUGGAUCUUUGUGUCAUUGUGUGUAUAUUUAUUUAUAGUCUUGAUUGAGAUCUGAAAGGAAUGAGAUGGGGUAAGGUUAAUUUUAUUAUAGUAGAUAAUUAAUAACUUAGACAGAUCUGUAUCAUGUUUUUUGUGAAAAUUAAGUUUUGUAAGUAUAAUUUCACAGUUACAAUGAGAUUUCUAUUUUGUUUGCUUCAGUAGCUAAUCACGUUAAUUUCUGAUUUUCUAUCGAUAAUUUGAGUAUAAUUAGCUUGAUAAGGACAAAGUGGUUGACUGUUUCUCAUUAGUAGUGCACCCAGAAGAAAGAUUGUGGUAUUUGUGGUUGAUAAUUUUUUCCUAAUAAAAUAAAAAUAAUAACAUAUAGAAUCAAAGAAUUGAUAUUUUUUUCCCAGUUGCCUAACACUACAAAGAUCUAACAAUCCUGUACACAAGAAAGCAUUUAGAUCACACACAACUAGAUUGUAGAGGAGCAGAGCCAGUGAGGUAUAUCCUUUUAAUGAACUGAGAUACCACUUAUUUAGUAAUGAAGCUGAUAAGUUACAUGUGAAUAUCAUCACAUGGCAGCUGACCCUUUCUCCAACAAUACAGGGCCCUCAUGUCAUCAUGAGUCAUGGGGUUUUUCUUAGCAGCAGUGUCUUGGCCUUUCUGCUGUAUCUUUCCCAGUAUUUUUUUAGUUUUUCGUGGCCUUAUUAGACCCGCCCAUUCAAAUACAGAGUAUAAUGUGACAAGAAAUAUUAUAAAGAACAAAAUUGUAGCGAAUCUAAGUCUAUUGCAUUGCUCUUUUUAUUUUAAAGUAGUGCUGGUCCUCCAAGUGAGUCUAUCAAUAGCUUUUUUUGCGAAAGAUGUCGACUGUUCAAAUUUCGGUAAAAAUGUGUGUAUGAGUGACAGUUUAAGGAACCUACUAUAAUCGUGCUUACCUAGCAAAAGAACAAACAAGGUUUCUGUAUAUUUUAUUCAUCUGUGUGAGUGGUUUGCAAUCCUCAUUUAUAGAAUCUUGCAUGAUAAUCCUCAUAUAUUUUGAUUUCCCAGAAAUGAGCUUAAUGGAUGAUGACAAAAAGUACAUUACAAUAGAGGAGUUGGAGAAGCAUAACAAGCCUGAUGACCUCUGGAUUUCUAUCCAGGGCAAGGUUUACAAUGUCACACAAUGGGCUAAGGUACACCCUGGUGGAGAAGUCGCCCUUUUGAAUAUGGGUGGCCAGGAUGUCACUGAUGCAUUCAUUGCUUUUCAUCCGAGUACUAUUUGGCGACGUCUUGAAACGUUCUUUAAUGGUUAUCAUAUCAAAGAUUACAAGGUUUCUGACGUGUCAAAGGAUUACAGAAAACUUUCGGCUGAGCUGGUGAAAGCUGGGAUGUUUGAGAAUAAAGGCCAUCUUGUUAUCUAUAAUCUGUGUUUUGUUAGUUUGAUGCUUUAUGGAUGUGUGUAUGGCGUACUGAAAUCAGAUAGCUUUGGUGUUCAUAUGUUAUCAGCUGCAUUGUUGGGAUUUUCGUGGAUUCAAGUGGCAUAUUUAGGUCAUGAUUCAGGACAUUAUCAAGCAAUGGCGACUCGCGGAUGGAACAAAAUGGCUGGGAUUCUGAUUGGAAACUGUGUUACGGGUAUUAGCAUUGCUUGGUGGAAGUGGACUCAUAAUGCACACCACAUUGCUUGCAAUAGCCUUGACUAUGACCCUGACCUCCAACACUUGCCAAUGCUGGCAGUCUCAGACACUUUCUUUUGGUCAAUAACAUCAAAGUUUUAUGAGAGGAAAUUGACAUUUGAUCGAGUGGCUAAAUUUUUUAUAAGCUAUCAGCAUCUGACCUACUAUCCAGUGAUGUGUGUUGCAAGGGUCAAUCUAUAUUUGCAGACAUUGUUACUGUUGUGCUCAAAGAGAAAGAUAGCAGAUAGAGGACUUAACAUACUCGGGACAAUUAUUUUCUGGACUUGGUUCCCUCUACUUGUUUCGUGCUUGCCUAAUUGGACAGAAAGAGUCAUGUUUGUGCUGGUAAGCUUCUGCGUGUGUGCAAUCCAACAUGUACAAUUUACCUUGAACCAUUUUGCCGGAGAUACUUAUCUAGGUCCUCCCAAGGGUACUAACUGGUUUGAAAAACAAUCGGGAGGCACAAUCAACAUUUCAUGCUAUCCAUGGAUGGAUUGGUUCUACGGAGGACUACAGUUUCAGCUCGAGCAUCAUUUGUUUCCUCGUCUACCUCGGAGACAAUUAAGGAACGUUUCUCCUCUAGUGAAAGAGCUUUGCAAGAAGCACAACAUGCCUUAUAGGAGCUUGUCGUUCUAUGAGGCUAAUGUGACAACUCUAAAGACACUG